CCAGCCUAAACCUAAAGGUCUCUAUAGUUACCCAGCCUAAACCCAAAGGUCUCUAUAGUUACCCAGCCUAAACCUAAAGGUCUCUAUAGUUACCCAGCCUAAAGGUCUCUAUAGUUACCCAGCCUAAACCUAAAGGUCUCUAUAGUUACCCAGCCUAAACCUAAAGGUCUCUAUAGUUACCCAGCCUAAACCCAAAGGUCUCUGUAGUUACCCAGCCUAAAGGUCUCUAUAGUUACCCAGCCUAAACCUAAAGGUCUCUGUAGCUACCCAGCCUAAAGGUCUCUAUAGUUACCCAGCCUAAACCUAAAGGUCUCUAUAGUUACCCAGCCUAAACCUAAAGGUCUCUAUAGUUACCCAGCCUAAAGGUCUCUAUAGUCACCCAGCCUAAACCUAAAGGUCUCUAUAGUUACCCAGCCUAAACCUAAAGGUCUCUGUAGUUACCCAGCCUAAACCUAAAGGUCUCUAUAGUUACCCAGCCUAAAGGUCUCUAUAGUUACCCAGCCUAAACCCAAAGGUCUCUAUAGUUACCCAGCCUAAACCCAAAGGUCUCUAUAGUUACCCAGCCUAAACCUAAAGGUCUCUAUAGUUACCCAGCCUAAAGGUCUCUGUAGUUACCCAGCCUAAACCUAAAGGUCUCUAUAGUUACCCAGCCUAAACCUAAAGGUCUCUAUAGUUACCCAGCCUAAACCCAAAGGUCUCUAUAGUUACCCAGCCUAAACCUAAAGGUCUCUAUAGUUACCCAGCCUAAACCCAAAGGUCUCUAUAGUUACCCAGCCUAAAGGUCUCUGUAGUUACCCAGCCUAAAGGUCUCUAUAGUUACCCAGCCUAAACCUAAAGGUCUCUAUAGUUACCCAGCCUAAACCUAAAGGUCUCUGUAGUUACCCAGCCUAAACCUAAAGGUCUCUAUAGUUACCCAGCCUAAACCUAAAGGUCUCUGUAGUUACCCAGCCUAAACCUAAAGGUCUCUAUAGUUACCCAGCCUAACCCUAACCCUAACCCUAAACCUAAUGGGCUCUACAUUUACCCAGCCUAAACCUAAAGAGCUCUACAGUUACCCAGCCUAAACCUAAAGAGCUCUAUAGUUACCCAGCCUAAACCCAAGGUCUCUAUAGUUACCCAGCCUAAACCCAAAGGUCUCUAUAGUUACCCAGCCUAAACCCAAAGGUCUCUAUAGUUACCCAGCCUAAACCCAAAGGUCUCUGUAGUUACCCAGCCUAAAGGUCUCUAUAGUUACCCAGCCUAAAGGUCUCUAUAGUUACCCAGCCUAACGGUCUCUAUAGUUACCCAGCCUAAACCUAAAGAGCAAGCGAAGCAGAAGCACAGACAGGUUCCUCCAGCUAACACCAUCUCUCUGUUCCCUCUAUGGUUGUGCAGGUGGUUGAGCUGUCCGAGAGGGCGACUCUGGACAAGGCCAUGGUAGAGCUAUGGGGUCUGGAGGACUACAUUUGGGGGAGGGGCCUCCGCAGGAACUGAGGAAGUAAUCGGACAACCAGGAACAAUACACACACACACAGAGACACACGCGUUACCGUGACUAGAUAUACACAGUCCUGCGUUACAGUGACUACAUAUACACAGUCCUGCGUUACAGUGACUACAUAUACACAGCCCUGCGUUACAGUGACUACAUAUACACAGCCCUGCGUUACCGUGACUACAUUUACACAGCCCUGCGUUACCGUGACUACAUUUACCGUCUUGAUGUCACAUUUACUGGUUUUACCCUCGUGAGCUGUCGUUGCUUGUAGCCAUAUUCCCUUAGACAUGUUCUGACACGUCCCCUGUUGUUUGUCCAUUUCUUCAUCUACUUUGGAUAACUGUCAACAAUUUGAUUGACUUGGAAUUUUGAACUUGUCCAAUAUUCAGUUGGGGAGAAUAUUUGCGUCCACUGUUGCUGCUAGUACUGCAUGUUAUGUUAUGUUGCUACUAGUACUACAUGUUCUGUUACUACUAGUACUAUAUGUUAUGUUUCUGCUAGUACUAUAUGUUAUGUUUCUGCUAGUACUAUAUGUUAUGUUGCUACUAGUACUACAUGUUCUCUUUCUGCUAGUACUAUAUGUUAUGUUACUGCUAGUACUACAUGUUCUGUUUCUGCUAGUACUACAUGUUCUGUUACUACUAGUACUACAUGUUCUGUUACUGCUAGUACUACAUGUUAUUUGACUGCUAGUACUGCAUGUUCUUUCUGUACU
ensembl:lncRNA